rnacentral:rRNA from 1 species
AGUGAACGCUGGCGGUAGGCCUAACACAUGCAAGUCGAGCGGUAGCACAGUAAGAGCUUGCUCUUACGGGUGGCGAGUGGCGGACGGGUGAGGAAUACAUCGGAAUCUACUUUUUCGUGGGGGAUAACGUAGGGAAACUUACGCUAAUACCGCAUACGACCUACGGGUGAAAGCAGGGGAUCUUCGGACCUUGCGCGAUUGAAUGAGCCGAUGUCGGAUUAGCUAGUUGGCGGGGUAAAGGCCCACCAAGGCGACGAUCCGUAGCUGGUCUGAGAGGAUGAUCAGCCACACUGGAACUGAGACACGAUCCAGACUCCUACGGGAGGCAGCAGUGGGGAAUAUUGGACAAUGGGCGCAAGCCUGAUCCAGCCAUACCGCGUGGGUGAAGAAGGCCUUCGGGUUGUAAAGCCCUUUUGUUGGGAAAGAAAAGCAGCAGGUUAAUACCCCGCUGUUCUGACGGUACCCAAAGAAUAAGCACCGGCUAACUUCGUG